rnacentral:rRNA from 1 species
UACGAAGGGGGCUAGCGUUGCUCGGAAUCACUGGGCGUAAAGCGCACGUAGGCGGGUCGUUAAGUCGGGGGUGAAAUCCUGGAGCUCAACUCCAGAACUGCCUUCGAUACUGGCGAUCUUGGAGUCCGGGAGAGGUGGGUGGAACUGCGAGUGUAGAGGUGAAAUUCGUAGAUAUUCGCAAGAACACCAGUGGCGAAAGGCGGCUCACUGGCCCGGUACUGACGCUGAGGUGCGAAAGCGUGGGGAGCAAACAGG